CGGCGGACGGGUGAGUAACGCGUGGGUAACCUACCCUGUACACACGGAUAACAUACCGAAAGGUAUGCUAAUACGGGAUAAUAUAUUUGAGAGGCAUCUCUUGAAUAUCAAAGGCGAGCCAGUACAGGAUGGACCCGCGUCUGAUUAGCUAGUUGGUAAGGUAACGGCUUACCAAGGCGACGAUCAGUAGCCGACCUGAGAGGGUGAUCGGCCACAUUGGAACUGAGACACGGUCCAA
rnacentral:rRNA from 1 species